UCCACUACAUUUUUUCUUCCCACUACAUGCACCCGUGUAGUGGGAAGUAAAAUCGUUCGGAAACGUUAUUUCUCAUCGUACUUGAUUCAAAAAAUAUAAAAUCGUACUAUGUUUGGGUUUCCGGUGUGUAUGUGAAUUUUUUGACACGCAUCGUGGAGUCCAUAAGAGUACUUUACACACUUUCCUCCAUUGGAUAUAAAUAGCGCAUGCGCAAUCGGAACUUUCUACUCGAAGAUGGAAAUAAUUGUUUACAAGACUCAAAACCAAAAAUUUUGUUUGCAAAUAGUGACUGAUGUGCCUUAUGAUGUAGAUGUUGGAUAUUGUGCUUUUCCAGAGAAAUGGCCCAAAAUGGAAAGCAUCUGCAGACAAUGACUGAUAUGUUUUUUGAUGCAGAUGUUUAAAAUGAUGCUUUUGAAGGAAAAAUAUCCAAGAUAAAUGAGGUUUCCUGAGAAAGGUGUUUGUCUCACAUGGAAAAGCCAUUGUCUAAGAUUAUACAUAUUAAGCACCAGUGAUCAGACAUAGGUUAACUUCCUAGAUAGACGAUUGAGGACCAAUAGUGUCAACGGAAAAAAAUCUACGCCAUGAAUAUUGCUUUAAUCAAUACUGGUUUAGAAAUGAGAAUGAAACUCUGGUACAUUUUUUAUUGAUCGUGUGGUUUUCAUGUAUUCUCC